UCCCUCUGUGGUGGCAGCACACUCAUUUG
rnacentral:piRNA from 1 species